UUGACGGGGAGCACCACAACGGUGGAGCUUGCGGUUUAAUUGGAUUCAACGCCGGAAAUCUUACCGGGACCGACAGCAAUAUGAAGGCCAGGCUGAAGACUUUGCCGGAUUAGCUGAGAGGUGGUGCAUGGCCGUCGUCAGUUCGUACUGUGAAGCAUCCUGUUAAGUCAGGCAACGAGCGAGACCCACGCCAACAGUUGCCAGCAUGUCCUCCGGGAUGAUGGGGACACUGUUGGGACCGCCUCUGCUAAAGAGGAGGAAGGAAUGGGCAACGGUAGGUCAGCAUGCCCCGAAUUAUCCGGGCUACACGCGGGCUACAAUGGUCAGGACAAUGGGUAUCGACACCGAGAGGUGGAGGCAAUCUCCUAAACCUGUCCUUAGUUCGGAUUGUGGGCUGCAACUCGCCCACAUGAAGCUGGAAUCCGUAGUAAUCGCGUUUCAAAAUAGCGCGGUGAAUAUGUCCCUGCUCCUU
rnacentral:rRNA from 1 species